GGACUACCAGGGUUUCUAAUCCUGUUUGCUCCCCUUGCUCUCGCGCCUCAGCGUCAGGAAUAAGCUAGAAAAUCGCCUUCGCCACCGGUGUUCUUCCACAUAUCUACGCAUUUCACCGCUACACGUGGAAUUCCAUUUUCUCCGCCAAUCCUCAAGACUCGCAGUCUUAAUUGCAGCUCCGAAGUUGAGCUUCGGAAUUUCACAAUUAACUUGCCAGCCCGCCUACGCGCCCUUUACGCCCAAUAAAUCCGAUUAAUGCUUGCACCCUCCGUAUUACCGCGGCUGCUGGCAC
rnacentral:rRNA from 1 species